UGGAUCUUCUGAGUACUAAAAUGAUGCCUUCAUAAUUGGACUGUCUUACUGGCCAAGCUGUGCUGGGGUAGAAGGGGCAUGCAUACACCUCCCUUUUCCCUUCCUGGCAAUUGCUUUAAAGAGUCAGAGAGAGUGUCUGGCAUCCAGACAUCUUUCUUUAGGGAAUGAAAAAAGAGAGAAAGAGUUCUCUCAUUCUUAUAUGCUGGCUCGAAAGAUCAUUGUGUACAAUUAAAACUGUGUCCAUAAGAAUAAUUUAGCAGAAAGUAUCUACCAUGUGAAUGCUGCCAAGGAAAUGUAUUUUGGUUUUCUAAACACCUGCUUCUUUUCUCAUAUGCAUCUUUAUUUUUUGCUUGGGAUGCAUGAGUGAUGUGGGGUAAAGUAACUCAUGACAAGCUGCUGAGCAACACUUGCUGAGAAAUGGCAGGAGUCGGUACCACUCAGGAGAAGUGCUAGUUUUCAGAAAAUAAAGGCAAAAGUGAAAGAUCAAACUUGUCUCUGAGCGAGUUUCUUGUUUGAGGCAGUGGGAAGGUGUUACAGACAAGCAUGUGGAGCAUACAAGAUGUUAACUUACUGCUUCACAGAAACAGCUUAUGCUCUUUUACACAUUGGUGUGCAGGUAUCUGUAAUGAAUGUUCUGCUGUGGCAACGCUGCAUCGUUAUAUCUGUCCAUUUUAAUAUAGAAAAUAGUAAUAUCAUGCGGUUUUUCUUUGAAGUAUAUGUGCGAGCUGAAACACUGUAACCAGUCUUAUGGCUUUACGCUCUGUGGAAGGAUAGGGGCAGGAGGAAAUACAAGAAGAAGCAAAAAAGUAAAAUCAUCAGUCCUGAAUGCUACUUGACUCUGUACCAGUGUCUGUUAUGAGUUCCUGAUUCAGUCUUGGUGCUGUUUAUUUUAAUCUGUGUGGUGAGAAUCAGAUGAAAAGCAACCAUGACCAGGCAAGAUGUGACUGUGAUUCUGUAAGGGGAAAAAUUGCUGUGGCAAUCCUGGCCAUUGGUUGUGGGUAGCUGGCUGAUUUUGGCCAGCUGCUGGGUAGCUGUAGAUGGUGGGUGCCCUUGGGGAUAAGGUGACUUUCAGAUAAUUAGACAAACAUACAAACUGUGUCUUAAAACAAAAGAUAUUGAAUUACUUCUUUUGGCUGCUCAAGAUGAAGUUUCUGAAGAGAAGGACAGCAAGUGCUGAACCCAGUUGGAGCCUGAAUUUUUCCCACAUGCCAAGGGGAAGAAAUGCAAGAUUUGACAGCAAGAGAAAGGGAAGGGUAGAUGCCUGCUAUGGGAAGGAAUACUCUUUGUGUGACAACAAAUUAUUUUGAUCUUUGUGUUCAUUAGAUGAGGUCAGGUCUCUGAGCUCAUUGCCCAGGUGUAUGGAUGCUACUGCAAUGCAAGGGAAGCAGCUGCAGCAGGUGAAGAGGACAUCAGGUCUUCCCCUCUUCACCAGCAUAGUCCUCUUAAAGCAGUGAUGACAUGGGAAUCCGGGGCAGUGGGUUUAACACUAGUUAAGCCAAUCUGCUGAAUAUCACUUGUGUUCACUGGUAGAAAUCUACCCUUACCUACAUGCUUGCAGCAGGGGUCAGAUGAGAGCUACUACUUAUGGCUUGAGAAUCCGUAGCCAGGUGUUGAGGAGGAGAGGGAGAAGAAUGAGUUGUCUUUCCAGCAUCGCCUGCCCAUUACUUCAGCUUAGCUGUCACAUGAAAACUGCACCCUGAAGGACUGGUGAAGUGACAGAGCUGCAGCUGGGCGCAAUACCAAAACGAGCGUUUUGUCAGACCGGUGCCGAUUCAAUUCUUCAUUUCUCCAGCUGCAGUUAGUGUAAAAGCUGGCUUCAGAUUGCUUGCCAAGCUCUAGAUUGUCAUCAAAUAGCACAGCUUUGCAGACCUUAUUACCCUUCACAGUAUGUCAUACAGGACCUGACUGUUAUUCCACCAGAGACUGUCCAAGCUAACCUAUUGAAAUAUAUCCUAGUUGUUCCCUUACUCACUCCUAAAGCCCCCUGCAAGGGUAGCUGUCAUUAUUCCUGAUCUUAACACCACUCUAACAAGAGGGGUAACUCCUGGAAAAGUGAAGUAUAUAUCCAUUCUGUUUCCAGUUUGUGACUCUGCUUCUUGACAAUUACAGAGCAUUGGCAGGGAUUUGGGACUGCUGGUAGAUGUCAGCAGGAUCCAGCAAUCCAGCCGAGCAUCUCCCACACCUGUGAAAGCUGUAGAAAGGCAUCAUGUAACUUUUGUUUCCUUCAAGAGUGGGGUCGUGGUUCUGUGUGAGUUAUGAUCACGAUUGUUGGUGCUCUGAGCACUGGCAGAGGAAGCUGCUGAUAAAUUAGGUGCAGCAGCAGCAGCUGCAAAAUCGCUGUCCUGCUGGCUGAAAAAAGGCAAAGUCAUCAGAGAAUUAAGCUGAACUGCCUAGCAUAUUUUGCACUCAGAAGGCAGCUUUGUAGGAAUUAUAAGGAAGAUGAUGCCGUAUAAUUUUUUUUCUAACUUCUGUUGAAACUACAGCUGUUGUUCUUCAGGCCUAAUAUUCUUCCAUGCAAUGAACUGCCCCCACUCAGCUUCUUCAAAUAGGAUCAAAAGGGUCAGCUGGAAAAAUCUAUAAAGAGGUGGAACAGUCUGAAGAAGAAUGCAGAGGCUUUGAGCAGUGGCUGCUUGGCAACCAAGGUCAAAUCACACCUUAAUAGCUGGAAGUACACCCAGGAGUUCAGACGUCUUAAAUCAGACCCUAAUGAUCAUGACUGGGUAGAAGACGAGAGUUCACAACUCCAGACUAGUGUGUGGAAAACUGGCUGUAUUCUGCCAACAGAGAAUAAGAAAAUAUUGUCUUCUUUUUUCAAAGCUUUUUGCUCACAUGAGAUUGAGGCUUCACUCCAGACAUCCUAUAAAAAAAUCAGUAGGGAACCCCAAAGUAGUAGUAACCACUCAAGCUGUGCUGUGUUUGGCACAUGGGACUUCCACUGGGACUGUGGGCAUCUUGUUAAUUUAGACAAAAUUACAUUAAUGAUAUCCACUUCUAAAUUGCUUUUCAAACUUGUACUUCGGUGUAACUUAUCAUGAGUUACUUUGGUCACAUGUCUCUCCAGUUCAGGACUUGUGACUGCUAUAAUGCUAUUUGUACCUUUUGCAGUGUAUUAUUUCAAUUAUACAUGAAGUGUAGCAAAUUUUAAGUUUCUGUAAUUUACUUUUCAACUAGCUUCCUUUGCCCAAGGUAACUAGAAGCUAUUAAAAACUUGCGUUAAAAUCAGCAGCAUAAAUAAAGCUGCCUUCUGUAUUUCACUCUUGCUGGCACCAAUGUUGCCUGGCAUAGUAAAAAUUAAAUUUAAAAGUAUCUGUAAAUGUGAAAUCUGAACUUUGAAAUGCUAAAACUUUGAAAUAAAAGCACUUUGUUAGUGUAGCUCUGAUGCUGUGCCAUCUUCAGAAAUUGCUUGGACCUAAAGAACCUGGCAGAAGUCUGUUUGACUGAGCAGCUGACUUCUGUCUGGUCAACACAGAGUAGACUUAAGUAGACCUUUAAGACCAGUUCUCUGUGCAUUUCUCAAUCUAGAAGUCAUGAGCAAGACUUGAACCCACAGGCAGUGAAAUCAAAAGAUGGGGCUCUUCUUAAUCAGCCGUCAUGAGAAGUCGGUGCCCAGCCACAGCCCCUGGAUAAAUCCUCCUCUCUUGCAUUGGCAAAGUUGAGCUUUCUUAGCACAGAAAAAAAACUAACUCGAUUGCAGGGUGGUGGCUGCCAGAGGCACGUGAGUGAGGCAAUGAUUUAGUUCUUUAAGUUGACAGACCUCAGCUCUUUCACCAUCUCUGUCUGCCCUGGGAUUGUGAAACCUCUGAGCACGCUGCAAAAUUCAUCAACAUAGUAAUUCCUUGUUCCCAAAGGUAUAAUCAGGUGAAAAGCUGGCCCCUCAGCCUGUGGUUCAGCAGAGCUCCUAUGAGGCUGCAGGGCCGAGCACGUGGCUGAUUCAUUUCUCUUGCGCAAGACUGCCUGCACUGCUGUAAGAAACUGAAUUGUUCCCAGGGGCGGGCCUUGCUGGAGUUAAAUACAUGCCCUCCUUCAUCAAACUGCUUUCUGUGAUUUCUGCACAUUUCACAAGACAGUUGAGUUACUGGUGAGUAAAAUUUACAACCAGAAGCCUCAGCCCCUCUAGAAAGUCAAAGAGGAGUUGUAAUGCAUCGUAUGUAUUCCAAAGAUUAGUUGUUAGUUGUUCUGAGACACAAGUUUAACCGAUGCUAAUGUAAUAUUAAUACAUAGUUUCUUCUAAUAAGCUCUUUGCAGCUGAAAAAUGUGAUCACUACUACAAAACAAAAAGCUUAACCUUCAGAAAAUGAAGGGUCUGCAGCUAGCAGUUUGACUAUUUAAUGAACUCUCUCAGCUAACAGCCUGUAUCCAUGCUGUCUUAGUAUGUGAAAAAUGUGCUUGGUGCCACAGUGAUGUCAGGAUCCCCGAGCCGAUCGCAGCUUAUGGCUUCCAGCUGGGCUGCGGAGGGCUGGGAGGCGCCACAAGCUGAGCAGAUGUGGCUUUUGAUGGAAACAGCAUCCAAAACCUACCUUAUUUCCAAUGUGUCCUGACCCAAAUCCCUGAUUAGUCACGAAAACGUUUACCUUCUCUGCUAUAGCUCAAAUGUCACAGUUUUCUGUUCAUUUUUCUGAGCCCUCCUCCCCCUUGCUGAUGGCUGCCGUUGGCUCGGCUCAGGUAACUUUUCUGUGGUGACUCAGAUAGUCGGUGUCCACUAUUGCAAUUGAAAUCUGUACUAUUAGAGAAGGGCUUAUGUGAGGCUGGCUGAGAAACAGGGGCCAAAUUUGGGAAGAAUUCCUGUUCUGAUGAGAGGAAAAACUCCAGGGAGAUGUUUAAUUGCUGCAGAUCAAGUGAUAUUAAUAGUAGAGGUCUUUUAUCCUUUGUGUUAAUAAUGAAAUGUCAUGCUGCAUGGAUGUGCACCGAUCAAGUUACUCUCUUCUUUCACUGGCCAGAAUUCUUUCUUUGUUCACCCUACUCUCUCUACAGUAUUUUUCCUUCCUGUUCAUCUUGGCAUAUCUAAAAUUAGAUGACCAGCUUUCCCAGGCACGCACCUGUCCAUGCUUAUAAAGUUUCUAGUGUAGUAUUUGAAGGCCGCAAAUAGAUUAGUUAGCUCUUUCCCUUACUGUACGUUCUUAAAAGGGAAACUGCUGAGACAAAUCUUUCAGGAAUGUAAAUGGCUCCUUUUGUCUAUGCUACAAAUGAAGAAAUGAAGAUAAAUGUCACCCAUGGGUGAUUCCUUUGGAGACUACUCAAGUACAGCCAGAUUGCUUUUGUUCACGCAUUCCAAGCUAACGCCGUUUUCAUACCUGAAUUAGGAAAUCUGGGAUUUAACUGAUUAAUAUGAUGCAUGUAUUUUCAACAAAUCAUGUAUGUGUUAGGGGUUCAUCUACAGUACAAGGGUCAAGGAUUACUGGAGUGCUUCUCCACAGUCUGGAGGCCAGACUGGAAGGCAGAAGACAACCGAUGGUGAAAUCCAUUUUACCGGGCUGGUCAUGUGAAGAGGACAGCGUGGUCUGUGACCUGCCUGCGAGUGGGGUGUGCGGGUGAGCAGAGCUUAGCAUACGGGUCUGCACACACAAGUUUUCAAGAAUUCUGGAUCUUUGCUUGUGGUGAAUGCUCUUCGCUCAUCUUUUUCACUUCAGGCAGAACAAUUCCUGAUGUUUGUGGUCUUUCUUCUUCUGAGAAUAACUCAGAGCCCAUCCGGGGAGUAUCACCAUGGUAUGCAAUCGUAAGUGACCUCUGCAUAGGGAGGCAACUGCCGGCAUUUCUUACAGCAACCAUGUGAUGGCUGGAUGCAGUUUGGCAGCUUUGUGUGUCCAACUCAUGGUGGAUCUGGGCCUGAGGUUUUCUUUCUUUUGUUUAGUUGCUUUUUUAUGUUCGCAUCUAAACUAAACACUAAGGAGUAAUGAAGAAGAAGGAUGGUCUUGUGGUUAAAUGUAUUCAAGGUGCAAUAUGGAACUGGGAGCUAUGUCUGGCUCCACCACAUCUAUGGCCAAGGACAAACAAUUUAAGAUCGCAGGGUUUUCCCAUUAGUGAGAUGAGGAUGAAAGUCCUCUGUGGGUGAAUGAAUAGUUUGAGUGGUUUGAUUCCCAACAGAAAGAGCUAGAGAAAAUUUAAGGGAAAAAAAAAAAAAAUUCCAAAUGGACCAAAUUGAUAGUAAAACCAGAGAGCAGAUAACUAUGCUGUCACUGGCUCUUCUCUGCUCUAUCAGAUCAGUCGUGAUUCUCGGUUAGAAAGAGGAUGCCCUGUGCCACGCAUCCAACAGCCUGUUUGCCGCAGCUGACCUGCUGCGUGGUGAGACAGGCAGGUGCUGAUCUACGUGCCAGUGAGAUCUGUGACAGAAAGUGGCAUACAUGUAAGAGUUUAUCAUCUCUUACCUUGCUCUGUAGAUGAACCUGAACAAGUAGUUUAUCCUGUCGUACACUCGGGAAACAGCACUGAACAAAAGUAAAGCAAGAGUCAAUCUCUGGCUUUCUCUGAGUCUCCAGCAGGCUUUACAGUGUUAACAGUGAGUAGCAGAGAAACUAUGUAUUUAUUCAUUCUGAUUUCACUUGCUGUAAUGGGAAGUAAUUCCCCUGAAGUCAAUGGGAUUGCAGUGGUGUAAGAGCUGCAUCAAUUUCUGUGCCCUUAGGUUGAUGAGAAAAAUAAUAUAUGACCAUAACAUAGCAAACAUAUAUAGAAAAGGCCUCAGGGCAGGGAAACAUUCUGUAAAUGAUAUGGAAACAACAUAUUUAGCAGAUAAGUAUUUCAAAAGUAGGAGGCUGAGGAAAGCUUGCUGUUUGGCCAGUAUAAAGAGCUCUCCCCAAUAUUUUGCCUUUCCACCUCAGCACAGAGCUUCAGCUCUUCUAGAAGCAAUCUUCCUUCACCAGCCGUUGCCGGUGGGCCAGAGAAGUUCACAAUAAGGCAAAAAUGAUCAAUCCCCAUAAAAGACAGGUGUGCAGGAGAGGUAGCUGGGCAGCAGUCAUCUUUCUGGCUACUCCAGUUUCAUGUUUAGUGUGGGAAGGCCGACCAAAAUCGGGAGGAAAAAGAGGAAGGAGGGUGAGGAACCGAGGGGACAAAGCCUGUUGCUGUAACAGAGGGUAGCCCCCUUGUACGGCAAAGGCAGAGCACGAGGUCCCACCAUGACCCGUGACCUUCCCCUCCCUGCAGCCACAGCCCCACGGGGUGACCAGCCACCACGCAGCCCUUCUGCUCCCCAAUGUCCCGGCAGCUGGAGGCGAUUGAGCAGCUGGCAGGGAACCAAAAAAGGAGGAUAGGUGGAAGCACAGAAACCAAAGAGGAGCUCAACAACAUGGAUAUAGAAUAAAGAUGAAACUGAGGAGAGAACCAUGUUGCUUUUUUGGCUUCAAGAGUGUGAUAUGAGUCAUUAUUCCUUAAAAAAGAAAAACAACGUUUGAUCUGGCUGCAGGGAGCGGGGGGUGGGUUGCAAUCAGCACGAUGCUCAUGUCAGGCAGGUGAUGAAGGACAGGGCGGGCAGUGGGGGGAAGCAGUAAGGAGAUCAUGAAGAAAUGUUUUCUGUGCUGUCCCUGCCUUAGGGCAACAGGGUCUGCCUUGGUUCUGAGGGAGGUGGAGACUUGAGAGAGAAAAAAGAAGGCAGAGUUCACACCUCCCUUUCUUUGCAGCGGAUCAGUCUUUUUUCAUCUCUAACACAGGAUUUGGGUACAUUCCAUGCACAACUCACACCUGAUUAGUUAAAGAGGAUUAUAUUAACGCAACUUUGACUGUAGGCAGUCUCAAAUCAGCUUUAACUUCACAGAAGCAUAUUAACUGCAGUGAUUUUUUUUUUUUAAGAUUUGUUUUUAAUCACUACAAGCAUGUCCUCAGAGAAGAUUGCAGCAGUUUUACUGCAAUAGCUGAAAUCUUUGUGAGCUUCGUGAAGGAGGCCCCCCGCCCCGCCAUCGCCGGUUUCGCAUCCCAGUUAGAAAAAUCCCUUUUCAUUUCUUAAGCACAGAGAGAUUCAUUCAGUAAAUGACAGAAAGAAACAGGUCAUUCUGAAUGAUGGCAGUGGCGGGGAAGGGACAGCCUGGUCCAGGGAGUUCAGAGUGGAAGUUCCUCACUGGAAACCUACUGGGGUACCAGUGAUGGGCUGGGAGAGAAUGACUGAGAGAUGGGUGAAGCAUUAUUAAGAUAUGGAUGGAAUUAGGGGACCAAGCCCAGAGAAGUGUUUGGGCUGCAGGAUGGUGGUGCUAGUGGCUAUUUAAGCAGCUACAUCACCAGUCCAAAAUAUCUCAGUUACUAAAAGCUGCCUACAACUUAGUUAUUUGCUUUUUCCAACAAGGAAAAUAGUAUGUCUUGUGGGAAAUCAUGAGGAUGACAUACCCAAGAACAUUGCAUAUUUGAUCACUAAUAAUAUAAAGUAAACAUCUUUAAAAUAUUUCCAGCAACAUCUGUCCUAGUUUAACUACUGGUUCAUGUUGCAUUCCUUUGUGGAAUGAUACUCAUCCCAGAAAGCAGAGCAUGUGCCACUGCCAUCCAUUACAAGAGUUAAACUUGUGGGAUUUUCCCUGUCUAGUGAAGCUGAAUUUCCUUCAACCUUUAAAAAAUGCUUUCUUUUCAUUUUCCACCAUUGCAUAAUCCUGAUUCUCCAAAAGUCUGAGUGCUUGCCUAUGAUCUUAUAUAUUUAGUAUUUGGCUUGGAUAAAAAAGGAGCACAGUGAGAUAGUGGUUUCACUUAUACUGAGGGAAAAAAAAUCCAGAAAAGGGAGAUGUACCAGUUUAAUAGGAAUACAUGGUAAACCUUAGGGGCCUGGGGAGUUGGGCAGAUUAAAAAAAUUAGAGCUUUCAGCCAACAGAAGAGAUUAGCAUCAUCCUCCAAAGGGGGACGGGGCGGGGGAAGUGGGAAUUAAUAAACUACUUAAAACUGAAAACAGCAAAUAAUGGUAAAGAAGAGUGUGAACAGAACUCCCUCUAUAGCCACAGAUGCCAAGGCUGCCUGGACAAGGCAUAUUUGCCCUGUACUAAGGGGUGUAGAUUAUAUGUCCUAAAAUAGAAAGUACUGUAUUGAGCAGGUAUAUGUGUUAGCAUUUUGGAGGAAAAUAUUUCAUUUUAACUGACAAGGACUGCCUUCUUGGUAGUUUUACUAUUUUUGCCAAAACAGUAAUUUUUUUACAGCAGAAUUUACAAUACAUUCUGCUUCUGAGGAAAAGUGUAAGUAUAACACAACUGAAAUAAUCUGUUUUUUUGUGAAAACAACUUUUCUGUUGUUAGAGGGGGGAAAAAAAGGAAAGGAAAGGAGCUCUUUUCUGUUACUAAGAGUAGUAAAAUUCCAGCAACUUAAAAAAGUUCGGGAUGUGAAUUCUUCACGACUUAGAAAUAUGCAGAAAAGUCUUUGGAGGCCAUGAAAUACAGGUAUUUAUUGGGUCUUGAGCUACCUCUGCAAAAGUCUAUUUUUUUUCUCUCCCAAUAUACAAAGUGAUUGAGAAAAAUCAAACCAAUGAAAUGCAAGCACGUUAUAGCUCCAUCUAUAAAGAAACCGAGGUGUGUCAAGUACCAGUUUCCCUAUAGGGAUGUUUAACUCUCUUGUAUCAGCUCAGGAAUGUUGCUGGUCCAAGUCUGGGUAAGAGGAUGGCAGCAGAAAUUGAGCAGAAGGAGAAAGGUUGGGAGAGAGAGGGAAACCCCCAAAUUUCACAAUAAGGCAGAUGUUGUGACACAAGAUGGGGCUAAUCUGUUUUACUGAGACAGUACCAGCUCAAGGACUCCUGUGGCAGCUGUUCUCCUUAUUCAUGCAGUGGUAAAUCCUCCCUCUAGCAAGCUACAGAUUGGAAAAAAGAGUUGUUUAGCAUUUCAGGGCUUUGGUUAACAUUUUGGCUCCCUUACUCAAGCAAGAGACAAAAAAGGAGACCACAGCUGUAUGAGGCCGGGUUUCCCUGUAGGGCUGUCUACCCCUGGAUGACGUUGGCUCCUACGUCAAUUCUCCACACUAUCAGUGUAAACCCCCUCACUUCUCGUUGGCAUUGAAACCAGUAACCUGGCACUGGGCUGCUGUUAUCACAACCUCUCUUCCCUGUAAAGGCGGCUGGACUCUGCUUUUGGCUACAGAAGUGAGAUAAAGGAUAGUGGGGAGUGGGACUGAAACAGCAAGUACAGCUAGGCUUUUUUUUGUUGUUGUUACAGAUUAGAUACGGACUCUGCAAAUCAGAGAUAGCAAGACUGACCUAAAGAUACUGAGUUAGUUUCCAUAGCAAUGAGUCCUAUAAGUUCUCAAAAUAUUCAGGUCUCUAUUAGGCUAGAAGUAGAUAUAAAUAAUCUGCUUACAUAAGGGCAUGCCGGUUCUCAUCCAGCAAACCACUCAAUUUUAAGCACGUGAGUAUCAAGAUGAUGGAUCUCCAUAGGUACCUGACUGUUAUGCUCGCUUGGGAAAGAAACACUCUUGGUGAAAAGUGCCUUUAUGCCUCCAGGUAGCUCUUUUUCAACCCUGACCCCCCUGCCUGGGACUUUCACCUGUGCUUCCUGCUGUCAAGCUACCUUUAAUGCGGACUUUGGGUUUUUUUUCCAUGAGACAGGUCUGUUCCUCUCCACCAAGAAUGAGAGGCAGCACCGAGCACUGCUCCUUCCUCCAGCCUCCUCUCUAGCUUGGCUGGAGGCACCUCGGGCCCUCCACCUCACGAUUCAGGUGAGAUCAGAUACGCUUGCAAAGAGGAAGAAGCACACUCCAAAAUGUGAAUACUGAAUAGGUACCUACUCGCAGGAAGCCUCCUCAUCCCCUCUCCCUCUGUCUCUUCAGCAAGGACUAGAUUGAGUUAUAAAGACGUGACUGAUGGUGCACUGUGUUUCCCAGCCACAGGUCCUGCAGCAUCCCAGUGGGAUGGUGUGACCGGAACGGGAAGUCUCUGCCACGACGGCACGCAGAGCGCACCACCAUGGUGGUGCACCAAGGAGGUACAUCUGGCCACUCUGUACAUGUCCCCAGCACAUACCAUGAUGCUGUCAAUUAACCCAGUGUACUAGAUGGUUUCUUCCUGGAAAAAUAAAUGUAACAUAAACUGGUGGAGUAUGAUAUCACUGAUUUAAGGAGAAGCUGGAGCAGAUGAUGUUGAAGCAAGGUCCUGAACACCCCUGUCCCAGUAGAGGCACCAGAUAGGAGACUCACAGUCAUCUUCCAUCAUCACUUCCACUCUGGAGAGAAAUGGGGCACACCUGUAUCACGGUCACAAGCACCAAUGAAGCUUGUGUAGACGUACCUGAGCUUCUGAAAUUCAGAUGUAAGAACUACUUGAAUUUUAGCUAGAAAUAAACAGCAUAAAGGACAGAACUGUAUCCACCACAGAGAACAUAAACAAUCAGAAGCAUCGGCACUAUACAAAUAUGUUGCUUACAGACACUAAAAAGGUGUAAAUGCAACAUAUCCUUAAAUAUUAUUCGGAAAUUGUUGAAUAUAUUUGUACAUAAUUCUUUACCUUCCAUUCAUUCCCAUUUCUAACACUUCAUGUAGUGUGUGAUAGGCCCUUGACAUACAUCUAUAACCAUCAAGAUUUGUUAAACUAAUCAGAGUACAAUUGGAGCCUCCAAAAUCCGGUUGGCUGAAGUUAAAUGUCACUGUGAAUCACAGGUAUUGUGUUACCAGAUAACACAACAAAAAAAUGAAUCAGAGCGGAACACUUCACUUGAUGCUGUUACAGCUAAUAGGUCUGAAAUGAAAGAUAAUUAUAUAUUAAAAUAGAGUGGGUAGCUCUAUUUUGAUGUAGAGAUAUGAAGAUGUCAGGCAAGCCAGUCUGUAGCAGGAGGGAAUGGGUGCCCUGAAGUGGUUGAGGAGAGGAGCCCAGGAGAGCAUUCCUCGCAUUCCUGCGGCACUUGCCCUGUACAUAUGCCCCACAAAUAAAAGGGAAUCAGCACUCUGGGUUGGUAAACGGAGCUUCAGAAAAGCUGGCACUUUCCUGUAGCUGCAGGCUUGAUUAAUUUGAAGAAAUUAUACUCUCUGGGUGAUGAAUGCGAGGCAUAUUUAAAACUGUGAUUUUUUUUUUAGGGCAAAGGACAUUACAUUUUCAAUCUGUUAGUUAAAAAAAAAAAAAUCCCCCAUAAGGUCUACUACUAAGCACCAACAAGCAAGAUGUAGUCAGGAUGUGGAGCCUUCCCUAGUCUUUUCCCAUGGUCUGCCCAGAAUUAUUGGUAUUAGCUGCAAAAAUAUUUUGCUAACACAUAUGAGUGGGAUUAGCCCAAAGAGUUAUCCUUGUUAAUGAACCAUAUGUAGAACUUCAGUAGGUUUCAUAGAUUACUGUCUGAGGACACAGGCUGCUCGGGAGCCAUGUAUGUCUAAAAGUGUAAGAUUUUGUCUCCUAAUACCAACCCUGCAUGUUGUGUAAGAAAAAAAAUUGUUAUCCCUGUGAUUUUUUGCAAAUAAAAAGUAGAAAUAAAAAUUA